rnacentral:rRNA from 1 species
AACGAACGCUGGCGGCAUGCCUAACACAUGCAAGUCGAACGAGACCUUCGGGUCUAGUGGCGCACGGGUGCGUAACGCGUGGGAACCUGCCCUUAGGUUCGGAAUAACUCCCCGAAAGGGGUGCUAAUACCGGAUAAUGUCCUCGGACCAAAGAUUUAUCGCCUUUGGAUGGGCCCGCGUUGGAUUAGCUGGUUGGUAGGGUAAAAGCCUACCAAGGCGACGAUCCAUAGCUGGUCUGAGAGGAUGAUCAGCCACACUGGGACUGAGACACGGCCCAGACUCCUACGGGAGGCAGCAGUGGGGGAUAUUGGACAAUGGGCGAAAGCCUGAUCCAGCAAUGCCGCGUGAGUGAUGAAGGCCUUAGGGUUGUAAAGCUCUUUUACCCGGGAUGAUAAUGACAGUACCGGGAGAAUAAGCUCCGGCUAACUCCGUG